rnacentral:tRNA from 1 species
GCCCUCGUAGCUCAAUGGAUAGAGUAACUGACUUCGAAUCAGCAGGUUGGGGGUUCGAGUCCCUCCGGGGGCA